rnacentral:lncRNA from 1 species
UAGAAACAGUAUGUAUCGUGCUGCAUAAUUUCUGGCUUUUAUUAUUUCGUUUACAGAGCAGAAAGAAGUACUUCGAAGACAGCAGCGACUCAUGAAACGAUGAAUCACUUUUGUCUUCAAAGGAACUGAAGUAUGCGCGCAUGAACAUGAAAUAUUGGGAAAUGCAGUGGCGCAUAGCACGCGAGCACAACGCGUCACUGGAAAGACGAAUCGCAUUUCUCGAAGGACAAGUAGAAAAGCGACUCGACAGUUAUACUUCAAAAGGACAAACCUAGUGAGGGACAUAAUGAUGUGAGCCAGCAGACGGCUGCAGCUGUGGUAGUGCCACCGGUGCAAAAAACACCUUUUUAAGCGGCUACUAGCUGUAAGAUUGCUCAGAUUUCCCGCAGCAUCAUUCAUUUCAUAUAUGUAGAGGCCAG